AGAGUUUGAUCCUGGCUCAGGACGAACGCUGGCGGCGCGCCUAACACAUGCAAGUCGAACGAGAGAGGAAGAGCUUGCUCUUCUGAUCGAGUGGCGAACGGGUGAGUAACGCGUGAGGAACCUGCCUCAAAGAGGGGGACAACAGUUGGAAACGACUGCUAAUACCGCAUAAGCCCACGGCUCGGCAUCGAGCAGAGGGAAAAGGAGCAAUCCGCUUUGAGAUGGCCUCGCGUCCGAUUAGCUAGUUGGUGAGGUAAUGGCCCACCAAGGCAACGAUCGGUAGCCGGACUGAGAGGUUGAACGGCCACAUUGGGACUGAGACACGGCCCAGACUCCUACGGGAGGCAGCAGUGGGGAAUAUUGCACAAUGGGGGAAACCCUGAUGCAGCGACGCCGCGUGGAGGAAGAAGGUCUUCGGAUUGUAAACUCCUGUUGUUGAGGAAGAUAAUGACGGUACUCAACAAGGAAGUGACGGCUAACUACGUGCCAGCAGCCGCGGUAAAACGUAGGUCACAAGCGUUGUCCGGAAUUACUGGGUGUAAAGGGAGCGCAGGCGGGAAGACAAGUUGGAAGUGAAAUCCAUGGGCUCAACCCAUGAACUGCUUUCAAAACUGUUUUUCUUGAGUAGUGCAGAGGUAGGCGGAAUUCCCGGUGUAGCGGUGGAAUGCGUAGAUAUCGGGAGGAACACCAGUGGCGAAGGCGGCCUACUGGGCACCAACUGACGCUGAGGCUCGAAAGUGUGGGUAGCAAACAGGAUUAGAUACCCUGGUAGUCCACACUGUAAA
rnacentral:rRNA from 1 species